AGAAGGUCCCAAGGGUUUGGCUGUUCGCCAAUUAAAGCGGUACGCGAGCUGGGUUCAAACCGUCGUGAGACAGGUUGGUCUCCUAUCUGCUGUAGGCGUUAUUGCUUGAGAGGACUCUUUCUUAGUAAGAAAUUGCUACUUUCCCGCGUAAGCGGGAUUGACAAUCCGACUAAUAACGGUGAAACCUUCAUAAUUAUUUUGGUUUAAUGAAUCAAAAACAUUGCGGUUCUUUGUUUUUGUAGUAUAAUUAGGUUGAGGACCAUAAUAAUUUUUUAAGGUAAUACCGUGGGAAGUUGUUCUAAAACUGAUUUAGCUUAUAUUGCUGGUUUUUUAGAUGGUGAUGGAAGUUUGAUGAUGCAAAUAAAAAGAAGAAACGAUAAUGGAAGGUUUCGUUUCAUGCUUACAAUUUGUAUGUAUCAGGAUUCUCGCCAUGAAAAAACUCUGUUUUGGAUGAAGAGAAAAUUUAGAAUUGGAUAUAUAAGCAGGCGUAAUGAUAAUAUUACGGAAUUGCGAAUUAACGGUUAUAAGCAAGUGGAAAGAAUAUUGAAACUGCUUAAACCUUAUAUUAAAUUCAAAAAAAUCCAAACAAAGAUAUUGCUAAAAUCGGCAAAAAUUCUUCAAAAGAAAAAAAUAUCUGAAAAAGAUUAUAGAAUUUUAGUGGAUAAUAUUAUUUUGAUUCAAUCAGAAAAUUAUGUUACUAAAAGAAAAAAAACUAAAGAAGAAUUGUUGAAAGUUUUAGAAUUAACCCCGUAACGACUUUUCUGCCUCAUUGGUGGAAAGAUAGUGAUUGAUAGAAUUUGGAAAUAUAUCACUAUAAUAUGUCGGCUCCCCGAUUGAAUCGGGGAUGAAGAUAUAGUCUGCACUCCUAGAAAUAGGGGAAUAUGUGACGAGAGGACCGGAAAGAACAAACCUCUGGUGUACCAGCUGUUCCGCCAGGAGCACUGCUGGGUAGCUACGUUUGGACGGGAUAACCGCUGAAAGCAUAUAAGCGGGAAGCCCACCUCAAGAUUAGGCAAUUCCCGACGUAAGUCGGGACGAUUUGCUAGAAGAUGACUAGCUUGAUAGGUCUCAGAUGAAAGCGGAGUAAUCCGUUCAGUCGAGAGAUACUAAUAAAUUGAA
rnacentral:rRNA from 1 species